rnacentral:rRNA from 1 species
GGCUACCACUUACAGAUGGACCCGCGGCGCAUUAGCUAGUUGGUGAGGUAACGGCUCACCAAGGCGACGAUGCGUAGCCGACCUGAGAGGGUGAUCGGCCACACUGGGACUGAGACACGGCCCAGACUCCUACGGGAGGCAGCAGUAGGGAAUCUUCCGCAAUGGACGAAAGUCUGACGGAGCAACGCCGCGUGAGUGAUGAAGGUUUUCGGAUCGUAAAGCUCUGUUGUUAGGGAAGAACAAGUGCCGUUCAAAUAGGGCGGCACCUUGACGGUACCUAACCAGAAAGCCACGGCUAACUACGUGCCAGCAGCCGCGGUAAUACGUAGGUGGCAAGCGUUGUCCGGAAUUAUUGGGCGUAAAGGGCUCGCAGGCGGUUUCUUAAGUCUGAUGUGAAAGCCCCCGGCUCAACCGGGGAGGGUCAUUGGAAACUGGGGAACUUGAGUGCAGAAGAGGAGAGUGGAAUUCCACGUGUAGCGGUGAAAUGCGUAGAGAUGUGGAGGAACACCAGUGGCGAAGGCGACUCUCUGGUCUGUAACUGACGCUGAGGAGCGAAAGCGUGGGGAGCGAACAGGAUUAGAUACCCUGGUAGUCCACGCCGUAAACGAUGAGUG